rnacentral:rRNA from 1 species
GACGAACGCUGGCGGCGUGCUUAACACAUGCAAGUCGAACGGUGAUCUUGGGAGCUUGCUCUUGGGUGAUCAGUGGCGAACGGGUGAGUAACACGUGAGUAACCUGCCCCUGACUCUGGAAUAACUUCGGGAAAACGAAGCUAAUACCGGAUACGCCACAGAGCUGCAUGGCUACUGUGUGGAAAGUUUUUCGGUUGGGGAUGGACUCGCGGCCUAUCAGCUUGUUGGUGAGGUAAUGGCUCACCAAGGCGACGACGGGUAGCCGGCCUGAGAGGGCGAUCGGCCACACUGGGGCUGAGACACGGCCCAGACUCCUACGGGAGGCAGCAGUGGGGAAUAUUGCACAAUGGGCGAAAGCCUGAUGCAGCGACGCCGCGUGAGGGAUGAAGGCCUUCGGGUUGUAAACCUCUUUCAGUAGGGAAGAAGCGCAAGUGACGGUACCUACAGAAGAAGCACCGGCUAACUACGUGCCAGCCGCCGCAGUAACAC